rnacentral:rRNA from 1 species
AUGCAAACGGCCGGUAUUUACACCUUUCGAGCACAUGGUCAAAUAUAUCACAACAUACACUCAGAUCCAAAGCAUCUGGAACUAUACUUCUACGACGAUGAUCCAAGCUUAGAGCAUCGAUACCGCCGUUGCCGUGAGGAAAUGUACGAGCAAGACAAGCAUGUGAUUGCAAUAAUAACAGACAUCCUAUGCGGUAACCCGUACUCUCAACAGUUUAGGAGUUUGGGACAAGCCCAAAACCUUGAGGACUACAGACUGAUCUUGAACCUUGACCAGAGAUUGGACCAAAGAACAUACAACGAGCCAAUCAAUUCAGAGGUAGCUGCAGUGUGGAUUGAAGGAAAUCAAAGAAGAGAUACUUAUGACAGAAAUGUAAUAUUACAUGGGAACAACAACGAAAAAGAGCACAUUCGAUCAUAUUACGGGUGCUAUGAUCCGUUAUCGUAUCCUUUAUUCUUCCCAAGAGCUGAACUAGGUUGGCAUAGGAAAAUCCCGAAGAGGGAAACACGAGAGGAAGAUAUUGAUGCUGAAAAUAUCAGUAAUGACGAUGACCCAGGUAAAAAAAAUUCAAAUACUAUUACAUUAAAAUUCAAUUUUCAUAUACUACCACCUAUGCAACUAACUAUUUAUGUUGCAAUAUUUGCACAGAUUCGGACAGUGGCCUAUGGGUAA